UACAGAGGUCUCAAGCGUUGUUCGGAUUCAUUGGGCGUAAAGGGUGCGUAGGCGGUCAGCACAAGUCAGUUGUGAAAUCUCCGGGCUUAACUCGGAAAGGUCAACUGAUACUGUGCGACUAGAGUGGCGGAAGGGGCAACUGGAAUUCUCGGUGUAGCGGUGAAAUGCGUAGAUAUCGAGAGGAACACCUGCGGCGAAGGCGGGUUGCUGGGCCGACACGUGA
rnacentral:rRNA from 1 species